UCCCAAAUAGUCUAGGCGGUUAGGGAUACGUGGCUUUCAACCCACGCGACCCGGGUUUCAAGUCCCGGUUUGGGAA